rnacentral:rRNA from 1 species
GGGAGGCAGCAGUGAGGAAUAUUGGUCAAUGGACGAGAGUCUGAACCAGCCAAGUAGCGUGAAGGAUGACUGCCUAUGGGUUGUAAACUUCUUUUAUAUGGGAAUAAGUGGAGUAUGUAUACUCUUUUGUAUGUACCAUAUGAAUAAGGAUCGGCUAACUCCGUGCCAGCAGCCGCGGUAAUACGGAGGAUCCGAGCGUUAUCCGGAUUUAUUGGGUUUAAAGGGAGCGUAGGCGGAUGCUUAAGUCAGUUGUGAAAGUUUGCGGCUCAACCGUAAAAUUGCAGUUGAAACUGGGUGUCUUGAGUGCAGUAUAGGCAGGCGGAAUUCGUGGUGUAGCGGUGAAAUGCUUAGAUAUCACGAAGAACUCCGAUUGCGAAGGCAGCUUGCUGGAGUGUCACUGACGCUGAUGCUCGAAAGUGUGGGU